rnacentral:rRNA from 1 species
GAUACGCAGCUUACCUGCAAGUCGAGCGGAAAGGCCCUUCGGGGUACUCGAGCGGCGAACGGGUGAGUAACACGUGAGCAACCUGCCCUAGGCUUUGGGAUAACCCUCGGAAACGGGGGCUAAUACCGAAUAGGACCUUCCCCCGCAUGGGGUUGGGUGGAAAGUUUUUCGGCCUGGGAUGGGCUCGCGGCCUAUCAGCUUGUUGGUGGGGUGAUGGCCUACCAAGGCGACGACGGGUAGCCGGCCUGAGAGGGCGACCGGCCACACUGGGACUGAGACACGGCCCAGACUCCUACGGGAGGCAGCAGUGGGGAAUAUUGCACAAUGGGCGGAAGCCUGAUGCAGCGACGCCGCGUGAGGGAUGACGGCCUUCGGGUUGUAAACCUCUUUCAGCAGGGACGAAGCGCAAGUGACGGUACCUGCAGAAGAAGCGCCGGCCAACUACGUGCCAGCACCGCCGGUAAAA